UUUAGCUGAGAUUCCUGCAUUAUUCCAUGAUUCUUCUACUGGUUUUCUGAGGAGCUUGGAGUGAUGAAACAGCAGGGAUGGUGGUUAGAAUGCAGGGCAGAAACUCAGACUUAAGCUGACAGAACAUGGACCAGACUCUAGUCUGCAGCAUCGAUUGCAAUGGAAGCUGACUUCUCCAUCACCAUUGCAUCUGCCCAUUGUCACUCUGUAGAGCUGAUCCAAGUGUUGAAGUGCCCAUUUCAUAUCGCUCUCAGUAGUGUUUAUGGAGGGUGGGCAGUGAGAGAUCAGAAGAGCCACGCUAGCCUGCUGUGACCAAUUUGCAUACCAUUAUUGGAUAUAGUCAUUCAUAAAAUCACUCCAGCAUGAACUGCAUAUUAACUACUGACAUUGUUUUGGAUGUCUGCAUAUGCAAUGGGAGUAAAGAGGGGAAAUGCAAGUGGCAAGAUUGGCCAACCACCCAAGGUGUGUAUAUGAAGUGUCACUGUCCAGGAUAGAACAAAAUGUUAGAUCAAUCUCCCAGGUAAACCAGGCCAACCGUCCUGAUACUUCUCUCUCCAGGCCUUGGGUUGGGAGGUCAUUAACCCCACUACCUGCAACUUUUUGCUCCCUUUUACACCAAUGCCUAUGCAAACACCCAGAACAAAAUUGAGUGGAAUAACACAUAGGUUCAAGUUAAUUUACUAAGAAAUUUGUGAUAAAAUAAAUUGUCUGCUGUUCCCUCCCUGCCUUGCCAACGAUAGCUUUGCUGUUUAUAAUCUCCAUUUCUUUCUCUUUCGCAACAUGACCCAUUGCAUGUCCGCUCAGAAGAAAACCCUACGUGUUCAGAGGAGCUUUGUGUCAGGUAAGUGUGCACAGGAUGGCAGCCUCUCCCUAGAUCACUGCAAUUGUCUUCCUUGUCUCUCCCUGUUUAUUGGAUAGCUAGGGAAAUCCACAUACCAUGCCUAUUUUUAUUCACUUUCUGGAACUGCUCUCUAGCAGAGAUUUGUCACCCUGGAUUUUGGACUGGAGGAGCAACUAUUUGCAUUUGCAGAGUUAAUGACAGGCAACCGAUGAUGGGCAGGUAUUUCUCUAUGGAGGAUAAAAUUUAGAUCACAAUUGGCCCCUUCAGGGAGGCUUUCAUUUUAAACAUCUAUGUAAGUCAGAUGGCUGAAUUAUUUUUACAGAUUCAGCGAGAGUUGCUCUUUGGAAAAUGGUAUAUGAUCACUCAGCACCCAGCAGACCUUUUCAGCAGGAAACACCUUUGAACUGAGCCAUGAAACUCUUUCUGCUUAGAUACUCAUGUGUGUCAUGUAACAGCCAGCAAGCAAACUAGCUCAUAAGUUCAGGGUGAUAAUGUUGUUUUCCUUCACUGAAACCCCGGUCUUAAUUCGUUUGUCAAAGUACAUCUAGGGAACUAAUCUGGCAUAUGUAUAACAAACUGAUCCACCUGGAUGGCUGUAUACCAUAUGGUAUUGGCUAGUUCUGCCUUGACAUUUUUAUUUUUAGGUUUUCUAGGAAAACCUUUUGAUUCUGACCUUUCAAACAAUGCAGGAACCAAGUGUGUCUGAACUCGCUACAUAUUUCAGCAUAAUGUAAUAUAGAUUUUUAAAAACUUAAAUAAAUCCUUUGCUCACUAUUGACUACUCAGUGCUUUGCUAAAGUGCACUCAUUUACACAAGCACACACACAC